AAUUCUCAACCAAUGUCUUCAUUGACUUGGCUUGGAGUUGGGGGUUUGCUGGCGGGUUCUGUCGUCAGCUCUCCUGAAAUGCAUUAGUGAUCAGUUAUUGGGCGUGCACGGCCUUUCGACGUGAUAAUGAUCGUCGAGGGCUGGAGCGUCCAGAUUGCUUUACUCUACUACGUCACGUCUUGCUUUCGUUAUUAGCUGGUCACAAAGACUCGGCGAACACCAAAGUGUAGAGUAGACUUUUGAA
rnacentral:misc_RNA from 1 species